rnacentral:rRNA from 1 species
GUGUCAGCCGCCGCGGUAAGACGGAGGGUGCAAGCGUUGCUCGGAAUCAUUGGGCGUAAAGGGUGCGUAGGCGGCUUGGUCAGUCUGGCGUGAAAGCCCAGGGCUCAGCCUUGGAAGGGCGCUCGAAACUGCCAAGCUAGAGUGCCGGAGGGGAGAGUGGAAUUCCUGGUGUAGCGGUGAAAUGCGUAGAGAUCAGGAGGAAUACCGGUGGCGAAAGCGACUCUCUGGACGGCAACUGACGCUGAGGCACGAAAGCGUGGGGAGCAAACAGGAUUAGAUACCCCAGUAGUCC